GGUGGAUGCGUGGGACCUGAUCUGGUAGUAGCCAAGCGAUGGGGUGACGCAGGAAGGUAGCUGGGCCAGUCAGUGGUUGUACUGGUGUAAGCCUGUAGGGCGAACGGUAGGCAAAUCCGCCGUUCACACAGCCUGAGAGGUGAUGCGUAGCCGAUUGAGGCGAAUUCAGUGAUCCUAUGCUGCCGAGAAAAGCCUCUAGUGAGUUGUUACACGGCCCGUACCCCAAACCGACACAGGUGGUCAGGUAGAGAAUACUAAGGCGAUCGAGAUAACUAUGGUUAAGGAACUCGGCAAAAUGCCCCCGUAACUUCGGGAGAAGGGGGGCCCCUGCCGGUGAUCACUCUUGCAGUGUGAGCUGGUGUGGGCCGCAGAGACCAGUGAGAAGCGACUGUUUACUAAAAACACAGGUCCGUGCGAAGUCGUAAGACGAUGUAUACGGACUGACGCCUGCCCGGUGCUGGAAGGUUAAGAGGACCGGUUAGCCAGCAAUGGCGAAGCUGAGAAUUUAAGCCCCAGUAAACGGCGGUGGUAACUAUAACCAUCCUAAGGUAGCGAAAUUCCUUGUCGGGUAAGUUCCGACCUGCACGAAUGGCGUAACGACUUCUCAGCUGUCUCAACCAUAGACUCGGCGAAAUUGCAUUACGAGUAAAGAUGCUCGUUACGCGCGGCAGGACGAAAAGACCCCGGGACCUUCACUACAGCUUGGUAUUGGUGUUCGGUUCGGUUUGUGUAGGAUAGGUGGGAGACUGUGAAGCGGUGACGCCAGUUACUGUGGAGUCGUUGUUGAAAUACCACUCUGAUCGUAUUGGAUACCUCAACCUCGGACCAUGAUCUGGUUCAGGGACAGUGCCUGGUGGGUAGUUUAACUGGGGCGGUUGCCUCCUAAAAUGUAACGGAGGCGCCCAAAGGUUCCCUCAGCCUGGUUGGCAAUCAGGUGUCGAGUGCAAGUGCACAAGGGAGCUUGACUGUGAGACUGACAAGUCGAGCAGGGACGAAAGUCGGGACUAGUGAUCCGGCACCGGCAAGUGGAAGCGGUGUCGCUCAACGGAUAAAAGGUACCCCGGGGAUAACAGGCUGAUCUUCCCCAAGAGUCCAUAUCGACGGGAUGGUUUGGCACCUCGAUGUCGGCUCGUCGCAUCCUGGGGCUGGAGUAGGUCCCAAGGGUUGGGCUGUUCGCCCAUUAAAGCGGCACGCGAGCUGGGUUUAGAACGUCGUGAGACAGUUCGGUCUCUAUCCGCCGCGCGCGUAAGAAACUUGAGGAAGGCUGUCCCUAGUACGAGAGGACCGGGACGGACGAACCUCUGGUGUGCCAGUUGUUCCACCAGGAGCACCGCUGGUUGGCUACGUUCGGAAGGGAUAACCGCUGAAAGCAUCUAAGCGGGAAGCCUGUUCCAAGAUGAGGUUUCUCACCCCCUCGAGGGGGUAAGGCCCCCGGCAGACCACCGGGUUGAUAGGCCAGAACUGGAAGUCGGGUAACCGAUGCAGGUGACUGGUACUAAUAGGCCGAGGACUUACCACA
rnacentral:rRNA from 1 species